CUGCCCUUAAACCAUGUGUACAUGAUCUUCCUUUGAAAUCUGCUUCAGUUUGUCUUCCAGGUCCUCUGAAUUUUUUUUCACAUAUGUUUUUCUGGCAAAGUGCAGCUGGGAGUGGUGCAUAGAACGUUCAGUUUUUCCAAGUUAUGGUAAGUAACUUACUUGGCUGCUACACAUGUGGACCACGACUUGCAUCCCUUUUAUGAUGCUCACUAAACAGGUGCCAUUAACUCUACAUUGGUCUGUUUCUUCUUCUCAAAUGCCAAGAUAAUGUUCAGGGCUACAUGCAAGUACAAGUGUGGAAUGACAGGUACCCCUAUCUUGCGGUAACAAAAAGGAGUACAUGCUUUUCUUGAUUUGGUUUCCUUUCCCGUGUGCAGUGUCAAUUUGUUAUUCGUUCAGGGUGACAAGAAAAUGAAGAUCCUAUAACUGAAAUUGGAUCUUCAGUCCUACACAACACAUCCUUGUUAGCGGAAUAAAUGGCCACAACUUCAUUGCAUAUAUAAAAGGCGGUGGGUGGUGGAUUGGCAAGGUGUUCGGUCAGUUGACCCAGGGUCUGCGGCGAGUUGGUGCCUCUCGACUACAGGAACGUUACCAAGGCAAUCGAUAGUAGUUUCAGGAGUAUUAAGAUUUCAACAAAAAUUUAUAAAGAGCUCUAAGGGGGCAGAGGAAAAAACACCUGACAGUGCAAAGUGCACUUCCACGAGGAAAUGAGCAGUGUAACACAAAUAGGAGGUGGACUGCUAGGAGCUGUCAAUGGCCCUGUGGUGGAUGGAGCGGGAGACGCAAGGUUGAGCAUGCAUGGCGAAGUUGUAGCUGAUGGGUUGACCGGCAAUCCGGCGCUAGGGAGAAGAAGAAAAGAAAGGAAGGAGUUGCGUGUGGACAAAGUUUUUUGAGUAAAAAAGUG